UUCGCAUUACUUGUAGAAAACAGGAUCAAGGAAGAAAUGGAGGCUUUUCCGGAAAAGUUCUAGCUGAGGCGGAAGUGAGGAUUUCUAACUUGUAUUGUGGGCCAGAAGGCUGUCAUUGAUCAAACUUGGGAAGAAGAAAAGCAAAAUGGGCAGUAGUUGCCUUGUGACUGCUCAGUGAUGGAGAAAAGGGGUUCAGAUGGGAUUUUGUUGUGAAGGGGGCUAAAAAGACUGAAGGGUUAAAUUAGUUGUGACUCUGUUGUGUCCAUUCCCAGUUAAAUGGGAGAUGAUAAGCCUUCCCUGGCACAUCUCUCUGCUGUGCUCACCCUCGGGCCUGGGUCGGAGCCCCACUCCUCACGGCUCACUAGACUUGUGGUCUUGGUGAAGUCUCUCACUUCUCUGGGCCCUGUUUCCUCACCUACAAAAUGGGAAUGAUCUCCACUCUGCUGGGUUAGUGUCAGGAUUAACUGCACAGAAAUACUUUGCAAACUUUAAGUGCAAUGGCAAUGAAGAGUCAGUUACGGCUUUAUCUACAUUCGGAUCCAAAUGCUUGCCCUUCUGUUACCAUUGUCUUUUCCUUCUCCUUCUCUCUCUCUCUUUUUCCCCCCAAGUCCCAAGUACCUAUUUUGGUCAUGUUUAAUCCUUAGCCUUUUUCUGCCUACCACUUGAAGUAGAUUCUAAUCUUUUUAGUACUGAAAGGAGUUUUUAGGGGUAAAAUAGGCAAGUGUAGGGAGUUUUAGGAAUUAGGGGGUCCAUGCGGGAGGAAGACAUAGUUGGUUGUGGGCUUGGAGCUGCCAAGAGGCAUAUAUUCACAGAGAAUAAAAGGUGCCACAGGAUAAGGGAAAAGGAAGACAUCCAUUUACAGAAGACAGGGAAAAGCCCCAGGGUAUGGGGAGAAAGAGGAAACAGACUUCCACAGAGGAUAGAGAAAUGCUGACAAAUGGGAGAAGGAACAGAUUUUCAUAGGAGAUAGAGAAUUCCACCACUGAAGGGGGAGAAAUAAAGGGGGGCGCCAUGUGGGUUUUGAGCUUUGAAGCUGAUAAGUGACCAGUUGGAAGGCAGCAACAAGAAACAAAGAACUGCAGCCUUUAAAUCCUUAGGAAGAAGGAGCUUAGUGGGCUACCCUUUGGGGACCUCCUCCCUACGUGGGAGUUUGUACUUGUUUCCAAUAAAUUUCCACCUUUUCAUCUACCA